GUCAGAGUUUUUUUGGGGGGGUAUUUUGAUGUUAUGCUAUUGAAUAUCUAGAUUUUAUUGGCUACCUUUGAACAAUGUUGUGGCAGGCAGUUCAGUAACUUCAGGAUGCGUAUUUGUCUGUUGUUGUUUUAAAUCUUCUCUUUAAACUUUGUGGAGUUAGUCUAGAGCCAUCUGUAAUUUGGAGCUAAAUGAGCACUGUCACUAGGGCAUGAACCUCCAGUGGUCUUUACUGAAUAUCCUGGAGGUACAGAGGGGAUUCCCUUCUCUGAUUAGAAUUUGGAAUAUAAAGAGAAAAGAGAAAAAUAGAAAGCUAUGCAAAAACACGUGCAUUAAAAUGAAUUUUAUGUGGGCUUUUUCAUGAAAAUGUUCCUAAGGUAUUUUAUUUUUUUAUUGUGGUAAAAUACACAUAACAUAAAAUGUACUCUGUUAACCAUUUUAAGUGUACAGUUCAGUGGUACUAAAUAUAGUCAUAACAUUGUGCAGCCGUCCCUACCAUCCAUCUCCAUAAUUCGUUUCAUCUUGUAAAACUGAAACUCUAUACCCAUUAAACAAUACUUCCCCAUUUCUUCCUCCCCCCAGCUUCUGGCAACCAUCAUUGUACCAUCUCUAUAAUGCUAAUCAAGCAUAGUGGCUGUUUUUCUUGCUUCCUCUAGUCCGCAGGUAGCAUACAAAUGUAAUAAACUACUUAUUCAUGUCACAUCUAUUUAUUUUCUGCCUUAUACCAAGCUUGUGGGAUUCUCUUAAAUACAACAUUUUUAUACUUACACCUAUGCAAUACCCAUUAGCAUCGCCUUCCUAAAUCAGGGGAAAUUCAGACUCUGUAAGGUGGAGUAACUUCCUAAGAUGUAAAACUCAGCAUUGAAGUCCGUAUACUUCAAUAUCCUCCCCUCUUCUCAUUUGUCUUUACUGCCU
rnacentral:lncRNA from 10 species